rnacentral:rRNA from 1 species
UACAGAGGGGGCAAGCGUUGUCCGGAUUCAUUGGGCGUAAAGAGCGUGUAGGCGGCCAGGCAGGUCGGUUGUGAAAACUGGAGGCUCAACCUUCAGACGUCGACCGAAACCAUCUGGCUAGAGUCCGGGAGAGGAGAGUGGAAUUCCUGGUGUAGCGGUGAAAUGCGCAGAUAUCAGGAAGAACACCCGUGGCGAAAGCGGCUCUCUGGAACGGUACUGACGCUGAGACGCGAAAGCGUGGGGAGCGAACAGG